rnacentral:lncRNA from 1 species
AAAGACUAUUCUCCACAUGUAUUUUCAGAUAUGCAAUGUGCCUGGCUAUUAGGCUCAGAGGCUGACAGAAAGAAUAUACCAAGAUAAAUGUAGAAUGUGUUGAGAGUGCUUGGGGGUAGGACUCCGUGCUGUUGACUUAACUACUGAAUUUGAAAAGUGACCUGCUAGUUUCUUAUCUAAAUGGCUACUUGCUGAUUUCAGCUGGAAAAAUUGGCACCCACUUUCCUUUAUGAUGCUCAAACUGUGGAGUUUUUUUUAUUAUUGGAAUGUCUGGUAGUCCUGUUGCGUCCACUUAAGUGUUUGGAAAUCUGAUCACCAGUCUUCCCCUAAAGGUUUUGAUACGAAGCUGUUGAAAACUGUCAUCAGCAAGCACCCUUUUACUCUCCCUACCCUCUGUCUCCUUUUUCUCUCUGCAGCCACAUUCAGCUGCAUCUUUUCUACCCCCACUCCCCAGACUGUCCUUCCCUAAAAAUCUUUUUCAUGAUAUUGAAAGUGAUAUAUUCUCUUCAAAGGAGGUGGAAACAAGUGAACACAUGUGGGAAAUAUUGCACUUUUUUAUGAUUGAAAGGAAGAUAUUUUCUUCCUGUCUGAGGGUUCAUUUGUGAGAAACAGAGGAAGGGUAAUCAGGGAGAGUCCAUUAAUAUAUCUUCAAAUAUCACACUCAAGUGUUUAUGACAAAUGUGCAAGUUGAUUGAACUAAGGGACAUUUUGGAAAACAAUCUUGGACGGAGCCUUCCAAGGAACUUAAUUUUUACCUAUGUGUAAUGUGCAAAGCUCUUUUGUUGGAUGGCUUUUAUUUCUUCUUCACGUCUGAUUGCUGUGAUGAGGACUUCCAACAUCAUGUUGAAUAAAAGUGUCAAAGUGCGAACAUCCUUUUCUUGUACCUGAUCUUAGAGGAAAAGCUGUCAGAUGUUUUGGUUGGUUGGUUGUUUUCCAUUGAGUAUGAUGUUAACUGUAAGUUUGUCAUAUCAUAUAUGACCUUUUUCUGUUGAAGUAUGUAACCUCUAUGCACCUUUUGGUGAACUAUUUUCUCAUAAAAGGAUCUUGACUUUUUCAAAUGCUUUUUUUAAAAAAUAUGAGAUAAUUAUAUAAUUUCUUAUCCAUUUUGUUAAUGUAAUGGAUCAUGCUGAUUGAUAUGUGGAUAUUGAACUCUGCCUGUACAUCUAGAAUUAAGUCCAACUUGAUCAUGGUAUAUGAUUCUUUUUAUGUAUUACUGAUUUUGGCUUGCUGAUAUUUUUUGAAUAUUGUUGUAUUCCGUUUUUAUAUAAUCCUCAGUCUCACUGUUAAGUUAUAGAUAAUUACACAUCAAUAUACCUUUGCAGAUUUAACACUUAUCACCAAUCUUUUUAUAAAACUGCAUAAUAAAAUUUCUUGUUCAUCCUUUGAAUAACA